AAGUUUUACUAGUUUGCUAAAAGACAGUGUGGUGUUCUCAUGCUUCCAAGCCUUACGAAUAAAGUUAGAAGGUCAUUAGAGAGGUGGAGAGAACACUGCACCAGGAGUCAGGACACCUACUUGCUUAGGUCUGUCUCUCUCCUCUACAAGGCCUGCCAUUAAAAUAGUCAUUUGGUGAAACGUUUUUGUGCCUCAUUUCCUUUUCUGAAAGAAAUGAGGAGUUAUGCUAGCUGUAUCCUUUCCAGUUUUCAUGAUCUGUGAAUCUAAAUCUGUUCACAAAAUAUCCUUAAAAAUGAUUUCUUUUUUCCCUUCUUCAGUAAGAUAAACCUUUUUUUUUCCCAGUCAAUGAUAUCAAGGAUCAUAAACCUGAUUUGCCACAAAACUUGUCAAGAGUCUGACCAUAAAAAUACUCUUAGGAAGCCUAUAUGCAAGUACUUUUGACUGCCUCCUGCACAGGAAGGGAAACAAAGUUUCUCCAAAGGUGUGCGUGUGUGUUCUUGUUUGAGCAGUUGCUGACAGGAGCUGGGGAACUGAGCCUGAUAAAGCUGCAGGAGGGCUGUGCAGGCAUAACCUUUACUUCAAGCAGGAAAACCACCAUAAAAAAAGAAUUGGGCUCGGCUGGGCAAAGCUGGAAGCAGGACUGUCCGGUAAUGUCCAACAUGUGGUAUUAUUUAAGGCUGAAUCCCCCAGGGCUGGGAACCAUAGUGCUAUUGGAAUAUUGUGAUUUGCCAAGAUCGCCCUGGUCGGGGGUGGGGUCAGAGCGGGAGACUGCACUCUUGUGGGUGAGAGGUCAGAUUUCCCCUGAAGGGAGGGGUGUUUGCACUCCCAGGCAUCGUGGGAAGAGUCGGAUCCUGGGGUCAGGAAAGAGGAAAGAGUCUUAAACAGGGUACUCCUUGAAGAUAGAGAAGGGUCACUUCUGUGUCUGUCAGUAUCGUUCAUGUUGGCUCAGAAGCCAUAGUGAAAGUUCCGUGAUUCUGAAUGGUCCUCAGUUCCAGGGCUCCUGCCCACACUCCACACACCGUGAACAUCUGAUGCCCUUGCAGCUUCGCUUAUUCCUGAAGGCCUGGGAGAGCCCCUGCAGCAUGUCUGGCUUCAUCAACGUUAUCAAGAAAGUAGUGGGUGGAUAAAUAUUAACUUGGGAAUGACUUGGAUUCAGAGUCUCUAGACACCACUUAUUUGCAUUUCUUGGCCAAACCAAUACUGCCCUCCACUUACUUGUUCCUUUACUAUUUUCCAAGGAUCUGGUGGGAAGGACAUAAGAGAAAGGAUGUGGAAGUGAUCAAUAUACUACGAAGCAUUAUUCAUGCCCAUCUGCUCCUGCCUCAGGCCCUUUGCACUAGCUGUUUCUCUGCCCAGAAUCCUCUUACAUCCUAAUGGUUGUACCCUUACUUUCUUCAAGUGUCUGCCAAUUGUCACUUCAUCGGAGAGCCCUUCUCUGGCUUCUUUGUGCAAAACAGAGAUCUUCCCAAUCCACGAUUUUUGGCACUUGUCCCAACCCCGCUUUGUUUCUCUCCAGAGUCCUUGCUACCAUCUGACAUAUAUAUAUUGGACAUUUUUUAAUUGACUCCAUAAGGAGGGAGAUCUGGAGCUCUUUUAUUCAUUGCUAUCUAUCUCCCUAGGGUCUAGAACAGUGCCUGACACAUAGUAAGCACUCAAUAAAUAUUGUUGAAUGAAUGCA
rnacentral:lncRNA from 1 species